CCCUUUGUGAACCAACUCCGUUGCUUCGGGGGCGACCCCGCCGUUCCGGCGACGGCGCCCCCGGAGGUCAUCAAACACUGCAUCUUUGCGUCGGAGUCUUAAAGUAAAUUUAAACAAAACUUUCAACAACGGAUCUCUUGGUUCUGGCAUCGAUGAAGAACGCAGCGAAAUGCGAUAAGUAAUGUGAAUUGCAGAAUUCAGUGAAUCAUCGAAUCUUUGAACGCACAUUGCGCCCCGUGGUAUUCCGCGGGGCAUGCCUGUUCGAGCGUCAUUUCACCACUCAAGCCUAGCUUGGUAUUGGGCGUCGCGGCUCCGCGCGCCUUAAAGUCUCCGGCUGAGCAGUUCGUCUCUAAGCGUUGUGACAUGAAUUUCGCUAAGGAGUUCGGACGGUUCCGGCCGUUAAAAUCUUUAUUAGGUUGACCUCGGAUCAGGUAGGGAUA
rnacentral:rRNA from 1 species